UAUCAAGUAUUUAUUAUAUUGUGACUCUAGAUGUCUCUUCAAUUCUCCACCGCCUCCGCUUUCCACCGUCGCAGCCACCACCGCUGUUGCAGCCUUCGUCCACCUCCGCGACCGCACCUCCGCCUCAGCCACCGCUCUAUCGCCUUUGCCCCAGCCACCGCUCCAGCCGUCGUCCCUCUCCCUUUAUCUCUCACUCUCACACCUCUGCCUCCAGCGCCACCGCGACGCCUCCACUGCGAUGCCUCUACAGCCGCCGACUCUCACUAUCACUCUCUCAGAUCGACCGAGACCAAAGGCUCAAAGGGUAAUAGGAUCUCAGUCCUUACUAUUUGCUGCAGGCUUAAGACCUACCCCUGCACAAGCAACUGCUGUGAGCUAGAUACUAAAAGAUGGGAUGCAGCAUGUGAGAAAGAUUAUAUGUAGCAACUUAGGUGCAAGAAUGGACUCUACCUGAGCCUAAACGAUGGCGAAUUUUAGCUGAUGUUCUUUAUGACCUCGGCACUGGUUUAGAAGUUUUAUCUCCUUUGUGUCCUCACCUGUUUCUUGAGAUGGCUGGCCUUGGCAAUUUUGCAAAGGGUCAUUUUAUAAGAUAAUCUGGUCUGCAAUGAAGUCCUAUAGGCUGUCAGUGGUUGAUAAACUAAAAACUCGCCCUCGCAUUGAUUUCUCUUUCCAUUUCAGCACGGUGGGACUCUUAUUUGUUUGGCAGCAUAAUUUUUGAAAUUUAUAUAAUACGGAGUACUUGCCAUUAAAUUGAUUUAUUCAACUAAUAUUCAAAAUGUUUAAGGUUCAGCCCAUUGUUAAUGAUGUUCGUAGUAGAGGGGAUGUUGCAGUAAAAAAUUUAGUGCUUGUUUUGCAUUUAUAUCUUUCUUUUAUUUAUCUCAUAUGUGUUUGGGGGGCUUGGAUUUCAGUUAUUUACUAUUGCCUAUGUGUUACAUUGUCUCUUAAUUCUCAACUGUAGCUAAAAUAGAAAUAAAUAAAACUUAGUUGAAACUUGAAAGAAUCGAACUUGCCAGGGUAAGAAAAUUAGUACUCUUAAAAUUUUUGAAGUUCCCAAGUAGAGCCUUUAAAUACAUAAUUUCUUUAGAAUUACUUAUGUCAUAGAUAAAAUUAUGCUUAACCUAUGUAAAAAGUUUAUCUAAUUGUUGGUUGUACUUACGUGCUCUAAUACAUGUUGCGUGCAGGGCAGGUGCACCAGUAGUAUUUAAGUGUGUAAGUAUUGAUGCAAAAUGUACCCUUCUAGUUUUUGUAUACUCUGUACUUGAUAAGAUGUUGAACCUGUUAUUAAUAACUUACAAUAUAUUAAUUUUUUAUUGUAAGCUUUAUAUAUUGUUAAAUGAAACUAUUGUGGUUUAAUUUGAUGAUA